rnacentral:rRNA from 1 species
UACAGAGGGUGCGAGCGUUGUUCGGAAUUAUUGGGCGUAAAGGGCGCGUAGGCGGUGCGGUAAGUCACUUGUGAAAUCUCCUGGCUCAACUGGGAGCUUGCAGGCGAAACUGCCGUGCUGGAGUGUGGGAGAGGUGCGUGGAAUUCCCGGUGUAGCGGUGAAAUGCGUAGAGAUCGGGAGGAACAUCAGUGGCGAAGGCGGCCAUCUGGGACAACACUGACGCUGAGGCACGAAAGCGUGGGGAGCAAACAGG